GGGAGUUCUUGUAGGUCGCUGAAAUUGCUUCCUAGGUUAAGUACCUCCAGAUUUGAUAACUUUCCGAUGGAAUCUGGGAGGCCUCGGAGCUCGUUGAAGUGGGCGUCGAGGUACCGAAGAGAUUUCAUGUCGCCGAUAGAGUGACAAAUGCUAUCUGGUAAGGAAUCAAGUUUGUUGCUAGAGACAUCAAGGAUCUUCAACUUGUGCAAACAGCCGAUGGAAUCUGGUAGAGACGUCAAAAUAUUGGAAGAAACAUUAAGCUCCUCAAGGUUCUCAAGUCCAGCAACGGAAUCGGGAAUCACCUGUUCCAAUGCAUCAAGGUUCAUCAAUGGCAGAAAGAAACAGCAGGAUAAGGUUCAUCGAUUUGUUAGAUUUCUCAAAAUCAAUACAUGUGUUGCAGUUAGGGGAGGGCUAAAUAUUUAGAAAUCUUGUUAUCAAACCAUAAGUUAAGAGAGUUAUUGUGCAAAUUCCAAAAUUUUGGUCCUAGAUUUCUGUUCUUCUACAGGCUGUGGUCAUACAUGGAAUUAAGAUCUGAAAAUGAUCGAAUGAAGAAGAUUAAAUUAACCAAUAUAUUUGGAUAAUAAGAAUAUCAGAGGAUAAAUAUAAUCAUAGACGGCAAACCUCAAGCUGAUUGGAGGAUAGGUUAAGGUGAACCAAUGUAUGAAUCUUUCCAAAGGCUUCAGGCAGAAACGGCAAUCGUCUCUCUGAUAAAUCAAUCCUUUGAGCACCGUUGGACAAUGCAUCUGUCAGAAUUGCAACCACUUCCUCCGUCAACUCCUCGGCGACGGCGGAGCUCCCUUCAUCACCACCCGGAAGCGGGUUGUUUCCCUCCUUAACCGACUCAUAAAUUUUCUCAAGUCUCUUCUCCGCCUCGCUCAACAUUUUAUCAUACGAUUCAUGCAUUUGAUCCAGCGAGAUCAGAGUUUUGUGCAUCUGUCUCUCCCUCUCGAUUGCCUUCUUCCGUUUGUCCUCCUCCGGGUCGACCUUAUCUGAUAAAGUGAUCUCGUCGAGGUCGUUCGACAACGUCGAAUCAAUCUCUGCAAGCCUGGCCUUCGCCAUGUCCACAGCUUCAUGAUCAGGACGCUCACCAAGGGUCUUGAGUAGCGAUCGUGUCUGAGAAACAUCGGCCACGGCUGCACGCAUGGAAGUCAGGAGCCGAGGAUCUGUUAGGUGAGGCAUCCGUUCAGUGAGUUCGAAAUAUGGUGGCGGAUUGAAGGACGAACGAUCUGUCAAUUUGGAAGUAAAAUGAGGCAUCGACGGCGGUUGUUCGAUGUCUCCCUCCUGCAUGUUAGAUCGUUUCAUGGUGGGCAGCCUGUUCAUGACGUAGGAGAGAAUUGGGAAAUUUUUGGGGUUCGGAUCCAUUGGAGUACGUGUUGUUUCAUGUGUGAUGAUCGAUCAAAUUGAAGCAGAUUUUCAGAGAUUGAUGAAUCUGAGCUUUAGAUUCGGAUGCAUUUCUAUCCACGGAGAGAGGGCGAUCAUCAACAAGACCGAACGAGAACCGCAACGGUAUUCCAGUCAUGUGAUGCAAAAUCUCGGACAAAUUCUUGGAGGGCAAUAUUUUGUAAAUUGUAAUUAUAUAUUAAAUAUAAAACAAUUUUUAUAUAUAUUUUUAAUUUUAAUAAUUAUAUUUUUAAAUAA